CCUACGUGAGGCAGCAGUGAGGAAUAUUGGUCAAUGGGCGCGAGCCUGAACCAGCCAAGUAGCGUGAAGGAUGACUGCCCUACGGGUUGUAAACUUCUUUUAUAAAGGAAUAAAGUGAGGCACGUGUGCCUUUUUGUAUGUACUUUAUGAAUAAGGAUCGGCUAACUCCGUGCCAGCAGCCGCUGUAAUACGGAGGAUCCGUGCGUUAUCCGGAUUUAUUGGGGUUAAAGGGAGCGUAGAUGGGUUGUUAAGUCAGUUGUGAAAGUUUGCGGCUCAACCGUAAAAUUGCAAUUGAUACUGGCAGUCUUGAGUACAGUUGAGGUAGGCGGAAUUCGUGGUGUAGCGGUGAAAUGCUUAGAUAUCACGAAGAACUCCGAUUGCGAAGGCAGCUUACUAAACUGCCACUGACAUUGAUGCUCGAAAGUGUGGGUAUCAAACAGGAUUAGAUACCCCAGUAGUC
rnacentral:rRNA from 1 species